rnacentral:rRNA from 1 species
UACGUAGGAUCCGAGCAUUAUCCGGAGUGACUGGGUGUAAAGAGUUGCGUAGGCGGUGUUUCAAGUAGCUAGUGAAAUCUGGUGGCUCAACCAUUCAGACUAUUAGCUAAACUGUAACACUCGAGACCGUUAGGGGUAGCUGGAAUUUCUAGUGUAGGAGUGAAAUCCGUAGAUAUUAGAAAGAACACCGAUAGCGUAGGCAGGCUACUGGGACGGUUCUGACGCUAAGGCACGAAAGCGUAGGGAGCAA